UCCCAGAUACAGCUUCACCAGCUUUGUCAAAAACCCUGCCCUCACAACCAUUUUGUGCAUCCAUAAAUGCAAGGUACGCUCUUCCCAGCACUCAAACUUUCUCUUCUUCCACUUUGUGAAGCAAUUGCCUGGCGCUCUUAGCUCCCACACAUCUGGAGGAGGAGUCGUAUGACAGUGGCUAGUGAAGAUUUCCUUUUGGCAACCUUCAGUGUACAAAGGAGGAUGGGGAUCAGAGGGACAGGCAUGUUACAAAAGCUACCAAAGCAAUGUUUUAGGAAUAUUAAUCUCCACAACUAGGGUUGGAAGCUGUCAUAUAACAGAUUUCUGCAAAACAUUUUAUCUAUUUUGCAUAAUACAUCCCAAGCUAUUGAACAUAUGAGUGAAGAUAAAAUGUGGCAGUCAUAGCCUCAGUUUUUCUUCCCUUUUCUGGACUUUUGUAGAAGGCACACAAGUUAUGAUGAUAACUUCAGCCGUACUGUGAUCUUCAUGUUUUUAACUGCUUUCUCAGAAGCCUGAAGCCUUUUCUGCAGGACACAGCCAGGAGCUGCUCUACGUAAGGGCUGUCAUGCUGCACUGCGCUCCCACUUAUCUCCCCGCUGCUCACCCUUCUUGAAUAGCUGAAGCAUGGUGUGGAUUGCACUUGUUUCAGCAAAGAAAACUCUGCCAAGUGAAAGCAAAGCUUGCCCACCAACGUGGAGAGGAUUUCAUUGUCCGAAGAAAUUGCCUCAGCAAAAAGGCUGGCAUGGAGAUCUGUGUAGACUCGGACAGGCUCUGCAUUAUCCAUAACAUCAAUACGACAUCUUGCAGAAUUUGAAAUCGCUGCCUUUCUCUCUGAGUUAGUGAAAAAACAAACAAGGUUUGAAAAUACUUUGAGAAAGAGGAUUCGUUUGCCUUCUCGUAGAAAGCUCUCAAGCCCCACCAUCUUGACUUCUGCAAGUGAGAAGCAGCAAGGACCACAACCAUCAGUGCUAUAACUACGCAGCAUCAGCUCCAUUAACGGUUUUGGAUGCACAGUGAGGAUGAUUAAACAUGUAAGAAUUAACUAUUAGAUGUUGUUAAUUAAUUAAUUUAAUAAAGU